UGAUCAAACACUGAGGUUUUGUCAUGCAA
rnacentral:piRNA from 1 species